rnacentral:rRNA from 1 species
GCUUAGAAGCAGCCAUUCAUUUAAAGAGUGCGUAACAGCUCACUAGUCAAGAGAUCUUGCGUGGAAAAUGUAACGGGGCUAAAACGUUAUACCGAAGAUAUGGAUGUCAGAUUUAUCUGGCGUGGUAGAGGAGCGUUCCUAUCAGCGGUGAAGUCGAAUCGGAAGGUUCGGUGGAGCGGUAGGAAGUGAGAAUGCUGGAAUGAGUAACCAUAAGAGAGGUGAGAAUCCUCUCGGCCGUAAGAGCAAGGUUUCCUGAGCCAUGGUAAUCAUCUCAGGGUUAGUCGGGCCUAAGCCGAGGCGCAGAGCGUAGGCGAUGGACAUCAGGUUAAUAUUCCUGAACCGGUUAAGUUUUGUACACUGUUCACGGGGAAGUAAUCGAAGCGGAUUCAUGGUUUAUCCGUCCAACCGAGCGGGAACGCAAAGGGAGUGAAAGUGAUUCUUCGGAGUCGCGAUUUUGGUGAAAGCCCUGGCUAGAAAAGCAGGUGUACGCGUGGACUUAGCCGCCCGUACCGCAAACCAACACAGGUGCUCGAGUCGAGUAGACUCAGGCUUACGAGCGAACCUUCGCUAAGGAACUCGGCAAUACAGCGACCGUAACUUCGGGAUAAGGUCUGCCCCCACUUCGGUGGAUAUCAGCCGCGUUCACUCAGUGAAUAUUAGGUUAAAGAGUACAUUUUUAAUCACAAAACGAAUUUUCUGAGAUAGAGCAAACGAAUUGUUCUUUUGAACGCGAACCUCUGACGUCUAACGAUGUGGGGGCCGCAGCAAAAGAGCCCACGGAACUGUUUAUCAAAAACACAGGUCUCUGCUAACACGAAAGUGGAUGUAUAGGGGCUGACUCCUGCCCAAUGCUGGAAGGUUAAGGGGAGCGCUUCACGGUGCGAACUGAAGCCCUAGUCAAUGGCGGCGGUAACUAUAACCGUCCUAAGGUAGCGAAAUUCCUUGUCAGGUAAGUUCUGACCCGCACGAAUGGAGUAAUCAUGUGGGCACUGUCUCAGCGAAGGACUCGGUGAAAGUGCAUUGGCGGUAAAGAUGCCGUCUGUCCGUACCAGGACGAAAAGACCCCAUGGAGCUUUACUACAGCUUUACAUUGAAUAUGGUUUCAACAUGUGUAGCAUAGGUGGGAGACUUUGAAGCAGAUACGCCAGUAUUUGUGGAGUCACCAAGUGAAAUACCACCCUUGUUGUGAUUGUGUUCUCACGCUGACCGUUAUCCGGUUAGCGGACCGUGUAUGGUGGGUAGUUUAACUGGGGCGGUUGCCUCCUAAAGAGUAGCGGAGGCGUUCAAAGGU